AGAUUGAACGCUGGCGGAAUGCUUUACACAUGCAAGUCGAGCGGCAGCGCGGGGGCAACCCUGGCGGCGAGCGGCGAACGGGUGAGUAAUACAUCGGAACAUGUCCAGUUGUGGGGGGAUAGCCCGGCGAAAGCCGGAUUAAUACCGCAUGAGCUCGAGAGAGGAAAGCGGGGGACCGAAAGGCCUCGCGCGACUGGGUUGGCCGAUGUCCGAUUAGCUAGUUGGUGGGUAAAGCCUACCAAGGCGAUGAUCGGUAGCUGGUCUGAGAGGAUGAUCAGCCACACUGGGACUGAGACACGGCCCAGACUCCUACGGGAGGCAGCAGUGGGGAAUUUUGGACAAUGGGGGCAACCCUGAUCCAGCCAUUCCGCGUGAGUGAAGAAGGCCUUCGGGUUGUAAAGCUCUUUGUCCGGAGCGAAACGGUUAGCGUGAAUAUCGCUGACUACUGACGGUACCGAAGAAUAAGCACCGGCUAACUACGUGCCAGCAGCCGCGGUAAUCUA
rnacentral:rRNA from 1 species